AACCUAGCACACCUGCGGUGUGUACCUGCGGAAGGAUCAUUGCCACACACGAUCCAAGAUCGACACUUUAUAUGAACUAUACUGUUAUUGAGGUUAAAUAAGGAAAGCAAUUUCCGGUUUUAGCCUCCUUUUAUCCACCGUUUAAUCUUAACUUUGGAUAAUGCAUUGGAACAUAAAAUGUUAUGCUCGAGUUCGUCUCGACAUAACGCUAGAUUGAAAAUUAAAAGCACAACUUUUAAC
rnacentral:misc_RNA from 1 species